AGCAACAGAAGGACUGUGGGAUAGGCACCCAUAGUACAUUGCUCACACUGUUGAUGAUGGUGCUCCCACUGUGGACGUGAUCUGCCGAUAGAGCAAGUGUGUUCGCAACAUUCUCCUGAGUUGCUAACAGUAGAGUCACUGUCACUUGCUUCCAGGUGUCACCUGCACCACAAAAGACCCCUCCCCCCACUUCCAAAACAUGUGAGUGCAGCCAGCCAGGCUCUCGGGAAAGCAGGAGUGAGGCCCUGUUGCUGAUAGGACAGGGCUUAUGGAGAACAGAAGCUCCUGAUCUUCCUCAUAACACAAGAACAAGGGGACAUUCCCUGAAACUGAAAGGCAGAAGAUUCAGAAUGGAUCAAACAAAAGAAAUACUUUUAAUAUAACAUGCAAUUAGCCAGUGGAACUCAC